AAGCACCCAAAAAAUUUAAGCAAAAUGUCCAAAUCCCUUACUUUUUUCCCAAUUUUAUUUGCCCCAAGUCUCUCUCAAUCUUCAUUUCGCUGUCUCUCGAAGUUUUUUCAGAUCUAACCUCCAAAUCUGACUUGACGCUAAAUAAGACGAAGGAAAAAAAUAGUGAUUUGCUUUAGUUUUCAUUUUACAGCAAAAUCGAAAAAUGGGGCAGAUUCAAUACUCCGAGAAAUACUUCGAUGAUACUUAUGAGUACAGAGGCAUGUUGUUCUUCCCCCUAAAGUGGCCAAACUUCUCCCCAAGAAUCGCCUACUCUUUGAAGUAUUUUUUUAGGGUUUUACACAUGUCACUGUUUGUAACUUAUUUUUGUAUUUUUACAGAAAUGUCCAUCUUUUUAACGCAAUUUUGUUUAAUUUAAUAAUUUCCUCAAGUUUUCAUCUGAAAUAGUUUUCUUUGUCGGUUGUCUAUUCAGGAAAUUAAUUAUUUAUGACCAUAAUUUACUAGUUUUGAUUUUGAUUGUUCAUGAUUUAUGAAAUGUAAAUAACUGUCUCGCAAUUAAGCAACUCAUUGCCUUCAGUACUUGCUUGUUUUUUGUCCCAAUUUUCCAUCUUUUCGUAGUAGCUUGAGUUUGCAGAUGCUUGUUUCACGAAUGUGAUUUUGUGUUGUAGGCAACUAAUUGUUCCUAUACUUGCCCAAAUGCAUAACUUGAGACUUUUUCCUUUUAUGAUUCUUGUCCUAUAGGAUGAGUUUCUUGGUUUUUUAAAGUAUGAAUGAAAUAGAAAAGGCUCAAAAUUGUGUUGUAGGAGACUAGUUGUUCGUAUGCACUGGUACCGUGUAAAUGCUAAGCUGACUUCUUCCUCUUACUGCAUAUGUGUGUAUUUUGAGAUGUGUUUCUUACUUCUUUUUCAUUCCUUUUAACUCCCUGUUCUAAAUCUAGACUAUCUAUGGUUCUAUGUGUAAGAGUGGCGUUGCUUUGUUCGUCUUGUUGUCGCGACUUGGUACUCUUAAAUAUGUGUCUCUGCUUGCUCUAUGCGCAUCUAUCUUUUGUUUCUCCUAAAAAAUUGACUGGAACUACAACCUACCAAGUUUAUUUCACGCAUGGAGGAAGAACUCUUUUAUUCUUAUCUUCUGCUUGUGUAUUCAUACAAUCUUAUUGGUUCUCCGUUUCUUACAUGGAAUUACAAUCUGCCAAGCUUGUGGUCUGUUUUUCACCAUGCACGAGUGUGAACUGUGAACUGUGAAUACAGCUAAUAAAUAUUUUAAACUAUUGAAUGUACCUGUAGAAGAAUACAUAUGAUUUUGAAAAUUUAACUACCAGCUUGUUUAAUGGUGUUUAAUUUAAUUUUCCUUUUUCCUGUUUAGACUGGAAUAGUAUCUUUUACUGACUUGUUGGAGCAGAUGGGCUAAAAUAUUCUUUUACUUGCUUUAUAUCAUUUAAUACUUCAUCUAAUAUGUCAUUGACACAAAGUAGUGGACUUCAUGUCUCUUUAUACUCCCAUGUGCCUGUAGUGGAUGUAUAAAUUUGUUAGAUGUGAAGAUCUGUUGAAAUUGAGCUUCAAGAUUAGUUGCAGCAUCUCUCUCUUCUGUCUUUAUCUCAUGCAGGCAAGAAGUAUUAUGGAAAGAUAUUUGCAGAUUGUCAUCUUUAGCAUCCAUUUCUUCAUCUUCAUUUCUUGAAGCAUUAGAGGGAGAAAUGGACUGAGGAAGAGCAUCAGAGGUUUCUUGAAGCUUUAAGGUUGUAUGGUCGUGGCUGGCGCCAAAUAGAAGAGCAUGUCGGCACCAAAUCUGCAGAUCAAAUUCGAAGCCAUGCUCAAAAGUUUUUCUCUAAGGUUGUCCGAGAGUCAAAUGGUGGCUUUGAUGGUUCCAUUAAACCAGUAGUGAUACCGCCUCCUCGUCUUAAGAGAAAGCAAGUACAUCCAUAUCCCCGCAAAUCUGUCUAUUUGGUCAAAGGAAUAUUCAUUAGCAGCUUAAUCAAUUUAAAUAAUCAAUGUUGAUACUUCACAUGGGAAUGGAUAUUCAAAUCUUAUAUUUUACAUGGUUAUGAUUUAAGUCAUUAUUUCA